UACGGGGGGGGCAAGCGUUGUUCGGAAUUACUGGGCGUAAAGGGCUCGUAGGUGGCCAACUAAGUCGGACGUGAAAUCCCUCGGCUUAACCGGGGAACUGCGUCCGAUACUGGUUGGCUUGAGUUUGGGAGAGGGAUGCGGAAUUCCAGGUGUAGCGGUGAAAUGCGUAGAUAUCUGGAGAAACACCGGUGGCGAAGGCGGGUCUCUGGGCCGAUACUGACGCUGAGGAGCGAAAGCGUGGGGAGCGAACAGG
rnacentral:rRNA from 1 species